CUUAAAUGAAUUGACGGGACCCGCACAAGCGGUGGAUGAUGUGGUUAAUUCGAUGCAACGCGAAAAACCUUACCACCUUUGACAUGCACGGAAGUUGCCAGAGAUGGCUUCGUGCUCGAAAGAGAGCCGUAACACAGGUGCUGCAUGGCUGUCGUCAGCUCGUGUCGUGAGAUGUUGGGUUAAGUCCCGCAACGAGCGCAACCCUUGUCAUUAGUUGCUACGAAAGGGCACUCUAAUGAGACUGCCGGUGACAAACCGGAGGAAGGUGGGGAUGACGUCAAGUCCUCAUGGCCCUUAUAGGUGGGGCUACACACGUCAUACAAUGGCUGGUACAAAGGGUUGCCAACCCGCGAGGGGGAGCCAAUCCCAUAAAGCCAGUCGUAGUCCGGAUCGCAGUCUGCAACUCGGCUGCGUGAAGUCGGAAUCGCUAGUAAUCGUGGAUCAGCAUGUCACGGUGAAUACGUUCCCGGGUCUU
rnacentral:rRNA from 1 species